GACGAACGCUGGCGGCGUGCUUAACACAUGCAAGUCGAACGGAAAGGCCCUGCUUUUGUGGGGUGCUCGAGUGGCGAACGGGUGAGUAACACGUGAGUAACCUGCCCUUGACUUUGGGAUAACUUCAGGAAACUGGGGCUAAUACCGGAUAGGCGCUCCUGCUGCAUGGUGGGGGUUGGAAAGUUUCGGCGGUUGGGGAUGGACUCGCGGCUUAUCAGCUUGUGGGUGGGGUAGUGGCUUACCAAGGCUUUGACGGGUAGCCGGCCUGAGAGGGUGACCGGCCACAUUGGGACUGGGAUACGGCCCAGACUCCUACGGGAGGCAGCAGUGGGGAAUAUUGCACAAUGGGCGGAAGCCUGAUGCAGCAACGCCGCGUGCGGGAUGACGGCCUUCGGGUUGUAAACCGCUUUCGCCUGUGACGAAGCGUGAGUGACGGUAAUGGGUAAAGAAGCACCGGCUAACUACGUG
rnacentral:rRNA from 1 species